rnacentral:rRNA from 1 species
CCUACGGGAGGCUGCAGUGGGGAAUAUUGCACAAUGGGGGAAACUCUGAUGCAGCGACGCCGCGUGAGUGAGGAAGUAUUUCGGUAUGUAAAGCUCUAUCAGCAGGGAAGAAAAUGACGGUAUCUGCCUAAGAAGCCCCGGCUAACUACGUGCCAGCAGCCGCGGUAAUACGUAGGGGGCAAGCGUUAUCCGGAUUUACUGGGUGUAAAGGGGGCGUAGACGGCUAAUCAAGUCAGAAGUGAAAACCCAGGGCUCAACCGUGGGACUGCUUUUGAAACUGAGUAGCUAGAGUGCAGGAGAGGUAAGCGGAAUUCCUAGUGUAGCGGUGAAAUGCGUAGAUAUAAGGAGGAACACCAGUGGCGAAGGCGGCUUACUGGACUGUAACUGACGGUGAGGCGCGAAAGCGUGGGGAGCAAACAGGAUUAGAUACCCGGGUAGUC